AAUCAACGCUGGCGGCGUGCCUCAGACAUGCAAGUCGAACGAUUAAGACUUCCUUCGGGAAGUGCAUAAAGUGGCGCACGGGUGAGUAACACGUAAGUAAUCUACCCUCGAGUGGGGAAUAACAUCGGGAAACCGAUGCUAAUACCGCAUAACGCAGCGGCACCGCAAGGUGACAGGUGUUAAAGGAGUAAUUCGCUUGAGGAGGAGCUUGCGGCAGAUUAGCUAGUUGGUAAGGUAACGGCUUACCAAGGCUACGAUCUGUAUCCGGUCUAAGAGGACGGUCGGACACACUGACACUGAAUAACGGGUCAGACUCCUACGGGAGGCAGCAGUCGGGAAUUUUGGGCAAUGGGCGAAAGCCUGACCCAGCAACGCCGCGUGAAGGAUGAAGUAUUUCGGUAUGUAAACUUCGAAAGAAUGGGAAGAAUAAAUGACGGUACCAUUUAUAAGCUCCGGCUAACUACGUGCCAGCAGCCGCAGUAACAC
rnacentral:rRNA from 1 species